AAGAGAUCAUCAAAAAAUAGCUGCUAACUAAUUUUAAAAGCGGUUUAAACCCGUUUAUCUCUUA
rnacentral:tRNA from 1 species